UACGUAGGGGGCGAGCGUUGUCCGGAUUUAUUGGGCGUAAAGAGCGUGUAGGCGGCCAGGUAGGUCUGCUGUGAAAACUCGAGGCUCAACCUCGAGACGUCGGCGGAAACCAUCUGGCUAGAGUCCGGAAGAGGAGAGUGGAAUUCCUGGUGUAGCGGUGAAAUGCGCAGAUAUCAAGGAAGAACACCCGUGGCGAAGGCGGCUCUCUGGGACGG
rnacentral:rRNA from 1 species